rnacentral:rRNA from 1 species
UACGGAGGGUGCGAGCGUUAAUCGGAAUUACUGGGCGUAAAGGGCACGCAGGCGGUGCGGCGCGUUUCGCGUGACAGCGGAGGGCUUAACUCUCCGAGGAUGCGAAAGACGGCGGCACUUGAGGGCCAGAGAGGGACACGGAAUUCCGGGUGGAGUGGUGAAAUGCGUAGAGAUCCGGAGGAACACCGAAGGCGAAGGCAGUGUCCUGGCUGGUGACUGACGCUGAGGUGCGAAAGCUAGGGGAGCGAACGGG